AGAUAGAGCAUAUGUUGAACAUUCUCUGUUUCAAUCACACUCUGUUACCCUCUUCUUGCUUUCACAUUGUCUCUGCAACCAAUUUCCACCCUGCUGUCAGCUUCACAUGGUCCGUCUUCUCUUUCUCAAGGUAUAGGCUGGCAGCCAACACCUACAAGCCUACUGACACCCACAACUAGCAUAACCACACUUCCUUUCAUUCUGUUUUAAAAUAAGGAUGAUAUUACAUUCCCCCCACUCAUGUGUCAGGCAGAUUUGACAGAUUAAUGUUUAAUAAAGAUGAGUAAUGACAGAUGGUGUGCCAAGAAGCACAUUGAUUUUUAUGAAGUGAUGAGCCAGUUGGACCAAAUGGCCUUUCAUCAUUGAGAAUAUAUAACUGUUAAGACAUUUGAACAGCAACAAAUUAACUUAAGAUAAUAAAUCAUUAACCAGUGACAUUCUCUUGUGUCGAUUUUAAAUCUAUUUAUUUCUUCACAGAUGCUGGCUGACUUCUGCACAGUUCAAAUUUUGUGCAUCUGCAGUAUUUUGCUUUUUUUUACCAACAUGCUUUCCUUCGGUUUGUUUAGAAUUGACUGAUCCUUAGCAAUGCUAAGGGAAUGUAGUAAAGACACAGAGAUGCUAUUCUUAAGACAAAGCAUUAACCUGAUCAUUGGAGUGGAAGUAAAGAUUCCUUCAGCAUUGUUCAAAGAAUAGAUAAUUAUCCUACCUAACAUUUCUCCUUCAACAGAAAAACGAUUAAUUGAUUAUCUCGUCUAAUUUGCCCUUUGUGAACCUUAUGUGCAAAUUAAUAGUUGUGUUCACUUGCAGAACAACAGUGAUUUCUGUUCAAAAACAUCUUAUUGUUUGAAUAUACUUUGUGACUCAAUUUUUGCUGUUUUCAGCGACUUUUUUGAAUACUUAGAUAUAGUUAACAGGUUAUAUGAAUAGAAAAUAGAUACAUUUUGCAUCUGUGCCAUGGAAGUAUGUUUCAGAUCAAUGACAUUUUGUUCGAACAAAGUACACAAAAAGAUUUACGUAGCUCCUUCCAUAGCCCCAAGACUAUAGCAUUUCACAACUGCAAUUUACUUUCGAAGUGCAGUCACACUUUUCAUGGUGGAAACUCAGCAAAGUCCCACAAGGAGCAAUGCUAUUGAAUAAUGUGCUUUAAUAAUGUUGGAGAACUUCUCUGCUCUUGAAUAAUGUCUUGUAAACUGUUAUGUUUACUUGAGGGAGAAUAGGAUUUCAAUCUAAUAUUUCAGAGCUGAAUUCCUAGGUAUGUCAUUGGUGUAUCAACCUUGAUAAUGAGUUAAAGCUUUGAGGGUGGGACUUGAGAUCAAAACCUUCUGACUUGGUGACAACUGCUACCAAUGUGCCACAGUGAAUAUUAUCUGGAUAUUACAACCACUAUAGUUGGAAGAGUUCUGACCCGAAACAUCAUCUGUGCAUUUCCCUCCACAGAAGCUGCCUGACCUGCUAAGUUUCUCCAGCAAUUUAUUUUUUGUUCAAGAUCCCAGGUCCUGCUGCCUUUUGUGCCUCUUGGUCUUGUCUAUCUUUGCAAAAUAAAAACAUGCCAUUGUCCCUCAGGCUAUGGGGUACAAUAACAUGAGUACAAAGAUGCUUGAAGUAGAACUUUACACUGCGAUGCCUGAAACAACUAAUUAAAAAUGUCAUAACAAGAAACUUUCUAAACUCUUACAGUUUUAGUUAUUGGCAAGAUGCAACUUUCUCACAGUGAUAUAUGUAUAGGCAUUCUAUAACAUUUAUGUAAGCGUUUAAAUCAAUAGUAUUCACAAGGAAGAGGUCCAAAUGAGCUGCUGAAGGUCAUCGUCACCAUUACAAUAAUCAUUUUGCGUAUUUCCAGCUCGCUUGUGUAAUCAAAAAGUGAACCAGCAGGAACCAGACGUGUCUGUCCUGCUCAUCUGUGGUAGGUGUUGAUACUGUACACUAUUCUUAAUACCCCAUGUGCUCUAAAUAAACCAGAUAACCUUCUCCAUAGAUUCUCAUUGAAGUCACAAGGAAUUGCAGAUGCAAGAAUCUUGAGGAAAACACUGGAGUAUUGGAGUAACUCAGUCAGUGAGACAGCAUUUAUGGAGGAAUGGAUAAGCGACAUUUCGGGUUGGGAACCGAUCUUUCUACCCACUACUACAAUCAAGAGUCAUGCAUCAAGAGUUUUUAAUUAUCAUAUGUACCGAAACAGAACAAUGAAAUUCUUAAUUGCAUCAGCACAACAGCUCUGGAGACCCAAUGGCUGAAAGGAAAUGAGAACAGCCGAAUCUCUUACCAACGUGUUUUUCCACCAAUGCCUAUGGACAGAAGGAGUUCUUCCCCACAGCCAUCAGGCUAUUAAACUCAACUGAAACAAAUCUCUGAACAUUAAUAGACCAUUAUCUGUU